UAGCGGAGGAAAAGAAACUAACCAGGAUUCCCUUAGUAACGGCGAGUGAACAGGGAACAGCCCAGCACCGAAGCCUGUGGUCAUUUGGUCACUAGGCAAUGUGGUGUUAAGGUCUAAUUGCGGGAGUGCUGCUUCUCUCCAAGUCCGACAAUGAGUACGGUAUUUUAAACGCGGCCCAUAGAGGGUGAAAGGCCCGUUGGAGAGAAGAUCAGGCAGGACAGUGCUCCCCUGAACAGACCAUGGAGUCGGGUUGUUUGAGAAUGCAGCCCAAAGCGGGUGGUAAACUCCAUCCAAGGCUAAAUACUAACACGAGUCCGAUAGCGAACAAGUACCGUGAGGGAAAGUUGAAAAGUACUUUGAAGAGAGAGUAAACAGUGCGUGAAGCCGCUCAAAGGUAAACGGGUGGAGUUGAACUGCGUGCUCCGAGGAUUCAGCUGGUGAUUUUAUCAUGAUCUUGGUCAUUUUGAUUGGACGAUGAGGUCUGCGUAGUAGCAGGUUCUUGCUAUCAAGUGAGAAUGCGCGAUUCACUUAUCAGGUGAUGUGCGCCUUGUUUGUUCUCGUGGUCAGUUGCCAGUGCACUUUCUCGGAGCGUUCACUACGACCGGCACUGCUGUCUGGCUGUUGUGGUUAAACCGGUUUGGCAUUGUCCUCGUGACUUUGUUGGAUCGGGACGGCAGGUAGCUCGUUUGCUUGCUUGUGGCUUGCUGCAAGAUUUAGCUUUCGGGUGUAAUCAGCUGACCAUGAUGGUUCUGUACAGUGUGUCGGAGACCGCGGCUUGUGGUGUGUGCGUGUGUGGUCGUCUGUUGGCGUGUUCGAGUUUGGUUGCCAUGUUGCCUGUUCAAGCGGGCCUGGUGAUGGCUCGAAUUCGUUCAAUGGUCGGCUGCGCAUGUGACAUCAAUACAGGGCCAACAGUCUGUGGUGUUGUGGUAGACUAUCCACCCGACCCGUCUUGAAACACGGACCAAGGAGAGUAACAUGUGCGCGAGUCAUUGGGCGUAACGAAACCCAAAGGCGCAGUGAAAGUGAAGGCCUGGCUCGUCUAGGCUUAGGUGAGAUCUCGUCGUUUCUCACAUGGUACUUCCAAGUUACGAACGGCGAGCGCAUCACCGGCCCGUCCCAUGACGUAGACGGGAUCUUAUGAUCCUCGCACCGUCGGGGCGGAGCAUGAGCGUACAUGUUGAGACCCGAAAGAUGGUGAACUAUGCUUGCGCAGGUUGAAGCCAGAGGAAACUCUGGUGGAGGACCGCAGCGAUUCUGACGUGCAAAUCGAUCGUCAAACGUGAGUAUAGGGGCGAAAGACUAAUCGAACCAUCUAGUAGCUGGUUCCCUCCGAAGUUUCCCUCAGGAUAGCA
rnacentral:rRNA from 1 species